rnacentral:tRNA from 1 species
GGACCUGUAGUAUAACCUGGAUAGAACGUGAGCUUGCGGAGCUUAAAAUCGGGGUUCAAAUCCCCGCAGGUCCA